AGUGAACGCUGGCGGUAGGCCUAACACAUGCAAGUCGAACGGCAGCACAGUAAUAGCUUGCUCUUACGGGUGGCGAGUGGCGGACGGGUGAGGAAUACAUCGGAAUCUACUUUUUCGUGGGGGAUAACGUAGGGAAACUUACGCUAAUACCGCAUACGACCUACGGGUGAAAGCAGGGGAUCUUCGGACCUUGCUCGAUUGAAUGAGCCGAUGUCGGAUUAGCUAGUUGGCGGGGUAAAGGCCCACCAAGGCGACGAUCCGUAGCUGGUCUGAGAGGAUGAUCAGCCACACUGGAACUGAGACACGGUCAAGACUCCUACGGGAGGCAGCAGUGGGGAAUAUUGGACAAUGGGCGCAAGCCUGAUCCAGCCAUACCGCGUGGGUGAAGAAGGCCUUCGGGUUGUAAAGCCCUUUUGUUGGGAAAGAAAAGCAGCAGGUUAAUACCCCGCUGUUCUGACGGUACCCAAAGAAUAAGCACCGGCUAACUUCGUG
rnacentral:rRNA from 1 species